GGUGGCUCAGUGGUAGAGUGCUUGCCUUGCAUGCAUGAGGUCCUGGGUUCCAUUCCUCAGCACCA
rfam:Dipodomys ordii contig_99085, whole genome shotgun sequence.